AGAGUUCGAUCUUGGAUCAGGAUGAACACUGGCGGCAUGAUUUACACAUGCAAGUCAGACGGGAAGUGGUGUUUCCAGUGGCGGACAAGUGAGUAAUGCAUAAGAACUUGCCUUUGAGAGGGGAACAACAGCUAUAAAUGGCUACUAAUACCUCGUAGGCUGAGGAGAAAAAGGAGGAAUCCACUCGAGGAGGGGCUCGCGUCUGAUUAUCUAAUUGGUGAGAAAAUAGCUUACCAAGGCGAUGAUCAGUAGCUAGUCCGAGAGGAUGAUCAACCACAUUGGGACUAAGACACGGCCCAGACUCCUAGGGGAGGCAGCAAUGGGGAAUUUUCCGCAAUGGGUGAAAGCUUGACGGAGCAAUGCCGCGUGGAGGUAGAAGACCUAUGGGUUGUUAACUUCUUUUUCUGGAGAAAAAACAAUGGCGAUAUUUGGGGAAUAAGCAUCGCCUAACUUUGUGCCAGCAGCCGCGGUAAUACAAAGGAUGCAAGCGUUAUCUGGAAUGAUUGGGCGUAAAGCGUCUGUAGGUGGCUUUUUAAGUCCGCCGUCAAAUCUCAGGGCUCAACCCUGGACAUGCAGUGGAAACUACCAUGAUGGAGUAUGGUACGGGCAAAGGGAAUUUCUGGUGGAGAGGUGAAAUACGUAGAGAUCGGAAAGAACACCAAUGACGAAAGCACUCUGUUGGGCCGACACUAACACUGAGAGACGAAAGUUAGGGGAGAAAAUGGGAUUAGAUACCCCAGUAGUCCUAGCUGUAAAUGAUAGAUACUAGGCGUUGUGCGUAUCAACCGGUGUAGUGUUGUAGCUAACACGUCAAGUAUCCCGCCUGGGGAGUACAUUCGCAAGAAUGAAACUUAAAGGAAUUGAUGGGGGCCUGCACAAGCAAUGGAGCAUGUGGUUCAAUUCGAUGCAAAGAAAAGAACCUUACCAGGGCUUGACAUGCCAUGAAUCCUCUUGAAAGAGAGGGGUGCCUUCGGGAACGCGGACGUCAGUCGCAUGGUUGAGAGUAACUAGGCUAGUCUAUGAUGCAUCUAGUAAACCUCAUUCCUUUGUCUCUCUGGUUUAUUCUAAUUGUUACUCCUAACUCAGAAGUUAGUUUGAAAUCAACAGUUAAAUUAUAAUACUAUUUAACCAUCGGCCACUUCUAGAGAAUAAACUCGAAAGCCAAUGCAACUGUUUUCUUCUUGUUUAUUAAGUCCUAAGAAAUUUGUUUUUGUUUAAGGAAAUAGUAAUCUGGAAGCAAUUCUAAGUGUGUUUUCAUUAGAAUGAGAGAGCUCAUUUUAUAGGAGUUAUAGAUAGAAGAAAUUGGCUUACAGGUGCCAUGAUCGAACAAAGUAUGUGAGAACGUGUUUCCAUUAUCACGUACAUCUC
rnacentral:rRNA from 1 species